rnacentral:tRNA from 1 species
GUUUGGAUAGCUCAGUAUAGGUUAGAGCAGAGGACUGAAAAUCCUUGUGUCAGAGGUUCAAAUCCUCUUCCAGACA